GGCUGGAUAUGAACUCGGGAAGAUGAGUCUUCCUGACUCCAGACCCACCACUCUAUCCACUCUGCCAUCUAACUGCCAGCCCUGGAAAUGAGAAUGGAACCACCAUGCUUGGACUUGAAUGUCACAGUCCAAGAUAUAUGGUUAUACAAGAAGAAGAAAUGAUACUGAAGAGAACAAUGGGAAAAACAGCUGAACUAGACCAUUGUACAAAGGAGAGAUCUACUCUUGGAGGUAGGGGAUUGACCUUACUACCACUCCACCUUAGCUACAAAUAGGAAUGGUCACACCCUUCAUCUUGCCAUCAACCACAGGCUGUGCGUGCCUCCGAGUCUCCAGCAUGCCCCGGAAACCUCUUCGUCCUGGAAGCUCACAUCCUGCAAGUGCCCUCCACCCCUGCAGUCCCUCGCUUUGAUUGCAUGGCUCCUCCAGGACCUGUAUAAAGGAGGGGGCCCAGGCCAACCAUUUCUUCAUCUCUCACCAGGUUUCUCUCUGGAUUCCUCCUUCAUAGCUCCUCAACUGGUACCUUUCUCCCCCUCCUUCUGCCCUAACAAUGUUCAAUUUCCUUUCAUAUGUUAUCUUCCCCCAUUAAAAUGUAAGUUCUUUGAGGGUAGGGACUGUCUUUCUUUCCACAGAACUUGGCACAUAAUAAGUGUUUAAUAAAUGCGUAUCAAUUGACUGACAUACCUUCUCCUUUUAAAAUAGCUAAUUCCCUUCAAGACCCAGAUCAAGCCCACCUGAAACCUCUCUUGAUCCUGGUGGUUGCUGAUAACUCCCAUUUAUUCCUCAUUCCAAUUAUCAUCUAUUCCGUGCAUACCUACAUACACAGUGUCAUUCUUCAUUAGACUGUAGGCUCUUUGA